rnacentral:rRNA from 1 species
CCCUAGUACGGCGAGUGAAGAGGAAAGAGCUCAAAGUUGGAACCUGUUUGGCCUAGCUAAACCGGAUUGUAGACUGUAGAAGUGUUUUCCAGGCAAGCCGAGUAAAUAAGUCCUUUGGAACAGGGCAUCAUAGAGGGUGAGAAUCCCGUCUUUGGCUUGAGCAUUUGCCUUUUGUGAUACGCUUUCAAAGAGUCAGGUUGUUUGGGAAUGCAGCCUAAAUUGGGUGGUAAAUCUCACCUAAAGCUAAAUAUUGGCGAGAAACCGAUAGCGAACAAGUACCGUGAGGGAAAGAUGAAAAGAACUUUGAAAAGAGAGUUAAACAGUAUGUGAAAUUGUUAAAAGGGAACCGUUUGGAGCCAGACUGGCUUGUCUGUAAUCAAUCUAGGCUUCGGCCUGGAUGCACUUGCAGGCUAUGCCUGCCAACGACAAUUUGACUUGAGGGAAAAAACUAGGGGAAAUGUGGCCCACUUGUGGGUGUUAUAGUCCCUUAGAAAAUACCUUGGGUUGGAUUGAGGAACGCAGCGAAUGCUUUUUGGCGAGUUUUCCAGGAAGGUUUUCUGAGGUACUACGGUAUCAAGGUUGAUCUUUUUGGUUAUACUUCUAUUCGCUUAGGUUGUUGGCUUAAUGACUCUAAAUGACCCGUCUUGAAACACGGACCAAGGAGUCCACCAUUAGUGCGAGUAUUUGGGUGCCAAACCCAUAUGCGUAAGGAAACUGAUUGAUACGAAUCCAUUAAGGAGGCAGUAUCGUCCGGCGCUGACGUUUUAUACUGAAUUGACCGAGACAAAGCACUAAUGAUGGGACCCGAAGAUGGUGAACUAUGCCUGAAUAGGGUGAAGCCAGAGAAACUCUGGUGGAGGCUCGUAGCGAUUCUGACGUGCAAUCGAUCGUCAAAUUUGGUAUAGGGGCAAAAGACUAAUCGAACCAUCUAGUAGCUGGUUCCUGCCCAGUU